UGAGUAACACGUGGAUAACCUACCUAUAAGACUGGGAUAACUUCGGGAAACCGGAGCUAAUACCGGAUAAUAUUUUGAACCGCAUGGUUCAAAAGUGAAAGACGGUCUUGCUGUCACUUAUAGAUGGAUCCGCGCUGCAUUAGCUAGUUGGUAAGGUAACGGCUUACCAAGGCAACGAUGCAUAGCCGACCUGAGAGGGUGAUCGGCCACACUGGAACUGAGACACGGUCCAGACUCCUACGGGAGGCAGCAGUAGGGAAUCUUCCGCAAUGGGCGAAAGCCUGACGGAGCAACGCCGCGUGAGUGAUGAAGGUCUUCGGAUCGUAAAACUCUGUUAUUAGGGAAGAACAUAUGUGUAGAUAACUGUGCACAUCUUGACGGUACCUAAUCAGAAAGCCACGGCUAACUACGUGCCAGCAGCCGCGGUAAUACGUAGGUGGCAAGCGUUAUCCGGAAUUAUUGCGCGUAAAGCGCGCGUAGUCGGUUUUUUAAGUCUGAUGUGAAAGCCCACGGCUCAACCGUGGAGGGUCAUUGGAAACUGGAAAACUUGAGUGCAGAAGAGGAAAGUGGAAUUCCAUGUGUAGCGGUGAAAUGCGCAGAGAUAUGGAGGAACACCAGUGGCGAAGGCGACUUUCUGGUCUGUAACUGACGCUGAUGUGCGAAAGCGUGGGGAUCAAACAGGAUUAGAUAUCCUGGUAGUCCACGCCGUAAACGAUGAGUGCUAAGUGUUAGGGGGUUUCCGCCCCUUAG
rnacentral:rRNA from 1 species